rnacentral:pre_miRNA from 1 species
GGGCGGUAGGAUACGGGGCCGUGGCACUGUCUGAGAGGCCGUAAGAUUCUCACAGUGAACCGGUCUCUUUUCCCACCCCUCA